CGUUCUACAUUGUGUGACGCUGCUGCCUUGUCUCCUAGUUACUUGUUUUUUGUAAGAAUGCGGGUGACUGAGUUAGAAGCAUGCUUCCAAGCUGUCCAUGUCCUUGGCAUCCAGAAGCGGAGCCUGGAAGCUUCCGAAUUUCUCCAGAAUGCGGUCUACAUUCACAUUCGGCAGGAUUCAGUAUGGCCUGCUAAAAAGUCUGGAGUGGGAUCUUGAAACUCUGAU